rnacentral:tRNA from 1 species
GCGCAGAUAGCCAAGCGGUUUAAGGCGUUCGCCUGCAGAGCGAUUAUUCGGGGGUUCGAAUCCCUCUCUGCGCU